rnacentral:rRNA from 1 species
ACACAUGCAAGUCGAGCGAUGAAGACUCCUUCGGGAGUGUAUGAAGCGGCGGACGGGUGAGUAAUGCGUAGGCAACCUGCCUCAAAGUGGGGGACAACCUGUCGAAAGAUGGGCUAAUACCGCGUAAGCUGUAAGGGUAGUACCUUUCAGUAAAGGCUUCGGCCGCUUUGGGAUGGGCCUACGUCCGAUUAGAUAGUUGGUGGGGUAAUGGCCUACCAAGUCUGCGAUCGGUAACUGGUCUGAGAGGAUGAUCAGUCACACUGGAACUGAGACACGGUCCAGACUCCUACGGGAGGCAGCAGUGAGGAAUUUUGCGCAAUGGGCGAAAGCCUGACGCAGCGACGCCGCGUGGAGGAUGACGUCUUUCGGGAUGUAAACUCCUGUCAGUGGGAACGAUAAUGACGGUACCCACAGAGGAAGCACCGGCUAACUACGUGCCAGCAGCCGCGGUAAUACGUAGGGUGCGAGCGUAAUCGGAAUGACUGGGCGUAAAGCGUGCGCAGGUGGU